AUGGCCAGGACUCUGCUGCUCCUCACCUUUCUGGCCUAUUGUACAGGUACUUGGGCCCAGUUUGUGCUGAAUCAGAUUCCCUCUGUGUCUGGGUCUCCAGGGGAGAAGGUCACCAUUUCUUGUACCCGCAGCAGUGGAAACAUUGGGUCUAACUAUGUGCACUGGUACCAGCAGCGCCCUGGGAGUUCCCCCACAAACUUGAUCUAUGCAGAUAAUCAAAGACCCUCUGGAGUUCCCGAUAGGUUUUCUGGGUCCAUCGAGAGUUCCUCCAAUGCUGCCUACCUGACCAUCUCUGGGGUGCAACCUGAGGAUGAGGCUGACUAUUUUUGUCAAAAUUACAAUGUCAAUAACAUGCCACAUUUUGCUAUCUAUCUAUCUAUCUAUCUAUCUAUCUAUCUAUCAUCUACAUAUAUCUAUGUAUCUUUAAACACAAGGGACAAAGAUAAGAGGGACUUUGUGCAGUUUUCUCCCUUGUGA